rnacentral:lncRNA from 1 species
AUGUCGCAGCCGACGCAGCAGCAGCGGGGAUUCGGAUUCAGCGGCGUUGGAGCUGCGGCGGCGGCGGCGGCGCCUUCGCCUCGCGGGAUGCCGAUGGCUGCGGGGGCCGCGGGGCCGCGUCGUCUCGCCGUGCAGCAGAAGCAGAAGCAGCCGGCGCUCGUGCCGCCGCCGCCGACGCAGCAGCAGACUCAGGGAUUCGGUGGUGUCGGGGGGGCUGGAGCGGCGGCGCUGGUGGUGGGAUCUUCUUCGUCGGCACGAGGGAUGGCGGCGGCGGCGGCGGCGGAGUGGAUGGCGCACGAGGACGCGUGGAGGGCGUGCAACCGGGAUUUCGCGACUCCCUUCGCCUCCGUCGAGGACGCCAUCAGCAGGCUGCUUCCGUACCACGUGUUCGCGGAGUACGAGGAGGACGAGAUCUACGUGGAGGACCAGCCGCCGGCGAAGGACAAGUCGAGCGUGCAGGAGUGGGAUGACGACCACGAAGCCGAGGCGAUCCGCAUGGCCGAGGAGUUCGAGAAGCAGGUGGUGACCUUCAACGUCGCCGUCCUGAAGUCCGCCGCCGGCGCCGCCCGCGCCGAGGAGCGGCUCAUG